UGGGGAAUAUUGGGCAAUGGGCGAAAGCCUGACCCAGCAACGCCGCGUGAGGGAAGAAGGGUUUCGGCUCGUAAACCUCUGUCCUAUGGGACGAAGGAAGUGACGGUACCAUAGGAGGAAGCCCCGGCUAACUACGUGCCAGCAGCCGCGGUAAUACGUAGGGGGCGAGCGUUGUCCGGAAUGAUUGGGCGUAAAGGGGCGCGUAGGCGGCCUGCUAAGUCUGGAGUGAAAGUCCUGCUUUCAAGGUGGGAAUUGCUUGGAUACUGGGAGGCUGGAGUGCAGGAGAGGAAAGCGGAAUUACCGGUGUAGCGGUGAAAUGCGUAGAGAUCGGUAGGAACACCAGUGGCGAAGGCGGCUUUCUGGACGGUAACUGACGUUGAGGCUCGAAAGCGUGGGGAGCAAACAGGAUUAGAUACC
rnacentral:rRNA from 1 species